GGAAUUGUUCACAAUGGGCGCAAGCCUGAUGACGCAACGCCGCGUGGAGGAUGAAGGUCUUCGGAUUGUAAACUCCUGUUGCUCGGGACGAAAAGCUCCGACCUAAUACGUCGGAGUCUGACGGUACCGGGUGAGGAAGCCCCGGCUAACUCUGUGCCAGCAGCCGCGGUAAUACGGAGGGGGCUAGCGUUGUUCGGAAUUACUGGGCGUAAAGCGCACGUAGGCGGCUUUGUAAGUUAGAGGUGAAAGCCCGGGGCUCAACUCCGGAAUUGCCUUUAAGACUGCAUCGCUAGAAUCCGGGAGAGGUGAGUGGAAUUCCGAGUGUAGAGGUGAAAUUCGUAGAUAUUCGGAAGAACACCAGUGGCGAAGGCGGCUCACUGGACCGGUAUUGACGCUGAGGUGCGAAAGCGUGGGGAGCAAAC
rnacentral:rRNA from 1 species